AAUGUACAGAGAAGAGAAGGGCUGAAUCCGAAUGGGAGUCGAGGUCUUGUACAGCAAUUGAGAGACCAAAGUGAAGAUGUGACAAGCCAACCACUCAGGAGCCAAAUGAAUUUCCAGAAGAGUUCUUCAGCUAAUAAUAAGAGGCAAUCGUCGUCUCUAAGUGCUUAUGGAGUUCUUAGACAGAACAGCCAGAAACAGAAUUGUUCAGUGGACAAAGAGAAAUCAUCAUCCUCGAAGCCUUCCAG
rnacentral:lncRNA from 1 species